UCCAGACUCCUACGGGAGGCAGCAGUGGGGAAUAUUGGACAAUGGGGGAAACCCUUAUCCAGCGACGCCGCGUGAGGGAAGAAGGUUUUCGGAUUGUAAACCUCUGUCAGUGGGGACGAUAAUGACGGUACCCACGGAGGAAGCCCCGGCUAACUACGUGCCAGCAGCCGCGGUAAUACGUAGGGGGCAAGCGUUAUCCGGAUUUACUGGGUGUAAAGGGAGCGUAGACGGUUAUGUAAGUCUGGAGUGAAAGCCCGGGGCCCAACCCCGGGACUGCUUUGGAAACUGUGUAACUGGAGUACAGGAGGGGCAGGCGGAAUUCCUGGUGUAGCGGUGAAAUGCGUAGAUAUCAGGAGGAACACCGGCGGCGAAGGCGGCCUGCUGGACUGAAACUGACGUUGAGGCUCGAAAGCGUGGGGAGCAAACAGGAUUAGAUACCCGUGUA
rnacentral:rRNA from 1 species